AGCAUGCGGUGGAGAGCUGGUGCAGUUGGUGCUCCUCACCCUUGGGCAGAGCAGCUGGACAAAGCCAGUUGGAUCAGCAGCAGCGUCUGAUUUGUUCUACAUCGAUGGUAUUUCAAUGGCUGUUCAGUUCGCCUCUGUCCCACAGCUGGAUGGAAGAGAAGGAGCAGGAUGAAGAGGAAGCGGCACAUGGCAGGGCUUCUGACGGCAGAAAACAUGUCAUUCGUGCUGAACCCAUCAAAGAGAACACAGCUGCCUCCCCUCCUCUCCGUGAGACCGCACCACCUCACGGAAAAGAAGGCUUAGUAACGGCACACCUGGAUGGACUCUGUCACAAGAUAUUGUCUGUUCCCGUGGCUCAUUCCAAUUCUAAAGAGAAUCAUUUUCGUCCCUCUAGCUCAUUCCAAUUCCAAAGAGAAUCAUUUACAAGAUAUUAUCUCUCUCUGGGGCUCAUUCACAUUUCCAGAGAAUCAUUUACAAGAUAAUUUCUGCCUCCUGAGUCCAUUCAUCUUCCCUAACAUCAUUUACUACCCCUCAAAAUUACCUAGAUCCCCACUUCCUCUGCUCUACGAAGAAAGGUAUCUAUCCCCACCCGAUUAUGCAGGCAUCAUCCUGUGAUUCUCCCCUCGUGAGUUAAACACAUUUGCAUGACUUUUCUCCUGCUACUCUGUCUACUUUCAGUUCAUAUUCGCAGACCCUCAGAGGAACAGUGAUAAACGACACUCAAUA